AAGAAAGACAUAGAGGCUAUGGAUUUGGCUUGAAACCAAUUUUAGGGGGUUCGAAUCCUUCCUUUCUUA
rnacentral:tRNA from 1 species